AAUAGAUACCCGGGUAGUCCACGCCGUAAACGAUGAGUGCUAAGUGUUAGAGGGUUUCCGCCCUUUAGUGCUGCAGCUAACGCAUUAAGCACUCCGCCUGGGGAGUACGGUCGCAAGACUGAAACUCAAAGGAAUUGACGGGGGCCCGCACAAGCGGUGGAGCAUGUGGUUUAAUUCGAAGCAACGCGAAGAACCUUACCAGGUCUUGACAUCCCACUGACCGGUAUAGAGAUAUACCUUUCCCUUCGGGGACAGUGGUGACAGGUGGUGCAUGGUUGUCGUCAGCUCGUGUCGUGAGAUGUUGGGUUAAGUCCCGCAACGAGCGCAACCCUUGAUCUUAGUUGCCAGUCAUUUAGUUGGGCACUCUAAGGUGACUGCCGGUGACAAACCGGAGGAAGGUGGGGAUGACGUCAAAUCAUCAUGCCCCUUAUGACCUGGGCUACACACGUGCUACAAUGGAUGGUACAAAGGGCUGCAAGACUGCGAAGUCAAGCCAAUCCCAUAAAACCAUUCUCAGUUCGGAUUGCAGG
rnacentral:rRNA from 1 species